rnacentral:lncRNA from 1 species
CACUCACAGUGGGGAAUUCCUCCCUCAAAGAUAAAUAUGCUGAGGCAUGUUUUCAAGGAGGGGAGAGAGAUUCCUUUUCCUCAGCCGGGCACAGAGCCAACCUGAAGUGUAGCACUGUGGUGACCUGGCGGGAUCUGCUCUCCAGUCACUCCCGAGGGCCCUUCUGGGGACAAGGAGACUUUUCUGUGCGGCCUGUUGAUUUGAGAUCGAGGCUAUCAAGCUACAGAUGAUCUUACAAAUGGAACCCCAAAUGAGCUCAACUAACAACUACCAAGGACCCCUGGACCAACCCGCUGGCCCUUUCAAUGGCCUAAAGAGUUCCCCUCUGGAGGACACUACAACUGCAGGGUCCUUUCUUUGCCCCUAUCCAGCAGGAAGUAGCUAGAGUGGUCAUCACCCAAUUCCCAACAGCAGUUGGGGUGUCUUGUUAAGUGGGGAGAUUGAGAGGUGAAGCCAGCUGGGCUUCUGGGUUGGGUGGGGACUUGGAGAACUUUUCUGUCUAGCUAGAGGAUUGUAAACACACCAAUCAGUGCUAUGUGUCUAGCUAGAGGUUUGUAAAUGCACCAAUCAGCACUCUGUAAAAACGGACCAAUCAGCACUCUGUAAAAUGGACCAAUCAGUAGGAUGCGGGCAGGGCCAAAUAAGGGAAUAAAAGCUGGCCACCUGAGUCAGCAGUGGCAACCCACUCGGGUCCCCUUCCAUGCUGUGGAAGCUUUGUUCUUUCACUCUUCACAAUAAAUCUUGCUGCUGCUCACUCUUUGGGUCCACACCACCUUUAUGAGCUGCAACACUCACUGCGAAGGUCUUCAGCUUCACUCCUGAAGUCAGCGAGACCACGAACCCAUGGGGAGGAACAAUCGACUUCAGACAUGCCACCUUUAAGAGCUGUAACACUCACUGCGAAGGUCUGUGGCUUCACUCCUGAAGUCAGCAAGACCACGAACCCACUGGAAGGAAGAAAUUUCGGACACAUCUGAACAUCUGAAUGAACAAACUCUGGACACGCCAUCUUUAAGAACUGUAACACUCACUGUGAGGGUUCAUGGGUUCAUUCUUGAAGUCAGCAAGACCAAGAACCCACCAGAAGGAACCAAUUCCGGACACAGACUCACUGCAACCUCCACCUCCUGGAUUCAAGUGAUUCUCCUGCCUCAGCCUCCGGAGUAGCUGUGCCUACAGGCACAAGCCACCACACACGGCUAAUUUUUUGUAUUUUUAGUAGAGAUGGGGUUUCACCAUGUUGCUCAGGCUGGUCUCCAACUCCUGAGCUCAAGUGAUCCACCUGUCUCGGCCUCCCAAAGUGUUGGGAUACAUGUGUGAGCCACUGUGCCCGGCCUCCUCUGGAUUAGUUCUUACAGGAAUAGAUUAGUUCUUGCUCGAGCAAGUUGUUAUAAAAGUGAGGUUGCCUCUAGUGUUUUGCAUCCUCACAUAUGUCUGCUUACCUCUUGACCUCUCUCUGUGUUAUGACCCAGCACAAAAGCCCUUACCAGAAGCCAAGCAGAUGCUGAUGCCACACCCCUUGGACUUCUCAGUCUACAGAGCCAUGAAACGAAUAAACCUCUCUUUAUAAAUUAUCCAGCUUCAGGUAUUCUGUUAUAGCAACACAAAAUGGAC